UACGUAGGGUGCGAGCGUUAAUCGGAAUUACUGGGCGUAAAGCGUGCGCAGGCGGUUUUAUAAGACAGAUGUGAAAUCCCCGGGCUUAACCCGGGAAAUGCGUUUGUGACUGUAGGACUCGAGUGUGGCAGAGGGGGGUGGAAUUCCACGUGUAGCAGUGAAAUGCGUAGAGAUGUGGAGGAACACCGAUGGCGAAGGCAGCCCCCUGGGUCAACACUGACGCUCAUGCACGAAAGCGUGGGGAGCAAACAGG
rnacentral:rRNA from 1 species